rnacentral:lncRNA from 1 species
CGGCUGGCUGAGGUCACCGUGACGUCAGAGGCGCUCCGGGCUGUCAGCUGGAGUCGGGCGAGCCGCGCUGACGAGGCAGCCGGCCUUAAAGGGGUCCCUGCGGCGGGCGGCGGUAGGUGGACCCCACCGCCAGCAGGUGCUGCCCUGCCGCCCCGCUCCUGGCUAACCAGCACCAGUUCUUCAGUGGCAAGCUUUAUGUUCUUCUCUAGUAGCUAAAGCUGCCAGUUGAAGAACUGUUGAAUGUAGCCACUCUCU